AACGAACGCUGGCGGCAGGCCUAACACAUGCAAGUCGAACGAGAAGCCACCUUCGGGUGGUGGAAAGUGGCAGACGGGUGAGUAACGCGUGUGAACGUGCCUUUCGGUUCGGGACAACCCAGGGAAACUUGGGCUAAUACCGGAUACGCCCUUCGAGGGAAAGAUUCAUUGCCUAAAGAGCGGCCCGAGUCGGAUUAGCUAGUGGGUAGGGUGAUGGCCUACCAAGGCGACGAUCCGUAGCUGGUAUUGGAGGAUGACCAGCCACACUGGGACUGAGACACGGCGCAGAAUCCUACGGGAGGGAGCAGUGGGGAAUAUUGGACAAUGGGCGGGAGCAUGAUCCAGCCAUGCCGCGUGGGUGAAGAAGGCCUUAGGGUUGUAAACCCCUUUAAGCGGGGAAGAUAAUGACGGUACCCGCAGAAGAAGUCCCGGCUAACCCCGUGCCAGCCGCCGCAGUAAAAC
rnacentral:rRNA from 1 species